rnacentral:misc_RNA from 1 species
GUGGCCGCGGAGGGCGCGG